rnacentral:rRNA from 1 species
UACAGAGGUCUCAAGCGUUGUUCGGAUUCAUUGGGCGUAAAGGGUGCGUAGGCGGCGCGGUAAGUCGGGUGUGAAAUCUCGGGGCUUAACUCCGAAACUGCAUUCGAUACUGCCGUGCUUGAGGACUGGAGAGGAGACUGGAAUUUACGGUGUAGCGGUGAAAUGCGUAGAUAUCGUAAGGAAGACCAGUGGCGAAGGCGGGUCUCUGGACAGUUCCUGACGCUGAGGCACGAAAGCUAGGGGAGCAAACGGG